rnacentral:rRNA from 1 species
GAUAAACGCUGGCGGCGUGCAUGAGACAUGCAAGUCGAACGAAGGAUCGGGCUUGCUCGAUCCUUAGUGGCGGACGGCUGAGUAACGCGUAGGUGACCUACCCCGAAGUGGGGAAUAACUGCCCGAAAGGGUGGCUAAUACCGCAUGUGGUCGCACGUUCAUUCGUGCGAGUAAAGCCGCAAGGCGCUUCGGGAGGGGCCUGCGUCCGAUUAGCUCGUUGGUGGGGUAAUGGCUUACCAAGGCGACGAUCGGUAGGUGGUCUGAGAGGACGAUCACCCAGACUGGGACUGAGACACGGCCCAGACUCCUACGGGAGGCAGCAGUCGGGAAUUUUGCUCAAUGGGGGAAACCCUGAAGCAGCAACGCCGCGUGAGGGAUGAAGGCCUUCGGGUUGUAAACCUCUUUUGUCAGGGACGAAGAUGACGGUACCUGGCGAAUAAGCCACGGCUAACUACGUG